ensembl:lncRNA
UAGACAGUGAAAGUGAAAGUCAGUCUCCAUUUUGUGUGGAGGGGAAAAUACACCAUUUCAGGAGUAAAAACACAGUGAGUAUCUACAUCUAAAGCUAUAAUAUAUAAACACACUGAAUGUACACUAGAUGCAGAAGAGUUUUGUGGGUUUGUACUGAAGUUUGAAUGUACACAGGCUGUUUUAUGACUUGAUACAGAGGACUAUUUCCUGUAAAUGAACUCUGCGCUGAUACAGGGUUUGAUUUAACACACCGAUGUUGGAGUGAAGUAAACGUGUGUCCUGCUGUAAUCUGGAGAAGGAGACAUGACCUCCAACAUGAGUGUGUCUGGAGAACAGGACUUAAAGAGAGACGAGAGAAUGAUGGAGGGAAAGAGAUCAGACUCACCAGAACCCAGCUGUGUGUCCAUGAAGAGUGACGAGUCAAUGGAUCUUCCAUUCACUUCAGAGACGGAGCCAGUUCUCCUGAUGUGAG